CCUACGGGGGGCUGCAGUAAGGGAUAUUGGUCAAUGGGGGAAACUCUGAACCAGCAAUGCCGCGUGAGGGAAGACGGUUUUCGGACUGUAAACCUCUGUCCUCUGUGAAGAUGAUGACGGUAGCAGAGGAGGAAGCUCCGGCUAACUACGUGCCAGCAGCCGAGGUAAUACGUAGGGAGCGAGCGUUGUCCGGAUUUACUGGGUGUAAAGGGUGCGUAGGCGGCUUGGCAAGUUGGUAGUGAAAUCCACGGGCUUAAGCGAGGAACUGCUAUUGAUACUGUCGAGCUGGAGUGAAGUUGAGGUAGGAGGAAUGUCCGGUGUAGCGGUGAAAUGCGUAGAGAUCGUAAAGAACACCGAUUGCGAAGGCAGGUUCCUAAUCAUUAACUGACGCUGAGGCACGAAGGCGAGGGGAGCAAAAGGGAUUAGAUACCCUAGUAGUC
rnacentral:rRNA from 1 species